GACGAACGCUGGCGGCGUGCUUAACACAUGCAAGUCGAACGGAAAGGCCCUGCUUUUGUGGGGUGCUCGAGGGGCGAACGGGUGAGUAACACGUGAGUAACCUGCCCUUGACUUUGGGAUAACUUCAGGAAACUGGGGCUAAUACCGGAUAGGAGCUCCUGCUGCAUGGUGGGGGUGGGAAAGUUUCGGCGGUUGGGGAUGGACUCGCGGCUUAUCAGCUUGUUGGUGGGGUAGUGGCUUACCAAGGCUUUGACGGGUAGCCGGCCUGAGAGGGUGACCGGCCACAUUGGGACUGAGAUACGGCCCAGACUCCUACGGGAGGCAGCAGUGGGGAAUAUUGCACAAUGGGCGGAAGCCUGAUGCAGCAACGCCGCGUGCGGGAUGACGGCCUUCUGGUUGUAAACCGCUUUCGCCUGUGACGAAGCGUGAGUGACGGUAAUGGGUAAAGAAGCACCGGCUAACUACGUG
rnacentral:rRNA from 1 species